GUUUAAUGCUCCAAAAAUGAAGAUAAAUAUUUUUUUUUAAUGCUAGGGUAAGGUUAAGGUUUAAUGCUCCAAAAAUGAAGAUAAAUAUUUUUUUUUAAUGCUAGGGUAAGUUUAAGGUUUAAUGCUCCAAAAAUGAUGAUAAAUAAUUUUAGUGUAUUUCUAAACUUUGAAACACACAAGCUUUCCCGGCAGUUCGAUGAGAAUCUUAAUGUUUCUCAGAAAAGCUUCAAGAU